rnacentral:lncRNA from 1 species
ACUGUGUCCUUGCGCAAGCGCGGGAGUCUUGGUUUGCGUGUAUCGCUGCAGUCACUGCCCUGGUUUUCUGGGCGCGUUCGGCCUUUUGUGGUGUGAUGGCUCUUGGAGAGGAGGCAGCAGGCGGCCGCAGCAGAGGGGUUGCCGUCACCUCGGGAUGCCUGUAGGAGGAGGGGUCCAAGGGUCCUCACGGUUUCGGUGCCUUCGUUUUCCUCCGUCAGAGUCGCCGUGCCUUUGGAAAGCAUGAGCUCCGCCCGGGACUCCGCUUUCGAGAAGCAGCAUCUCUGGAUGUACCUGCAGGCGCUGGGUUUGGAUCCGAGUUCCGGCGUCAGGGUCGGCGGGAAGAUGGUAUCCUACGCGCACCUUGGAGAGGACAUGUUUGACAAACUGAACCGCGAUGCCUUUCAUAUAGUUUCCUAUUUUUUGUUUAAAACACUGGAUGAGUCUCUUGCCAAAGAAGUUUUCAGAGAUUGCUGGCCUCCAUUUGACCAAAAACUUGACAUGGAAUUCCGGAAACAUUGCUGUGAAUGGUUAAAAGAGAUUUCUGCUGAAUGUGGGAGUAGUUUUCCUCAGGUUGUUGGCUCAUUGCUUAUGUCUCCCGGUGGUCCUAAGUUUAUUCAUCUGAUGUAUCAUUUUGCAAGAUAUGUUGCAAUCAAAUACAUUAAAACAAACUCUAACAAUUCUCCACAUUUUGCAGAAACAUUUAAUGCAAAGCCACAAGAUAUGCACAAGUGCCUUGCCAGAUGCCAUGUAGCACGCAACAGAUUUUUACAGGUUUUGCAAAGAGAACAUUAUGUUACCCAAAAAUACCAGGAUAAUGCGCAUCUGAUUGUUAAGCAAGUACGAAACGCAAGAUCAGAAUGCAUGGGUCUACAAAACCAAAUUAAAAGACUGGGACCCUGUGAUGAAAAGAGUAAUAUACAAGAGAAGAUUCAAAAGGUUCGGUCUUUGUGGACUUCAGUGAAUGAGACACUCAUGGUUUUGGAAAAGGAGAGAGAAGUUGUUAGCUCACUCUUCAGUUUUGUCAACCAGUAUGCUUUGGAUGGGGCUAGUAUUUCUGUUAAUAUUCCAAGGCUCUUACUUGACAGACUAGAGGAGCAGAUAUGUCAGUUGCAGAUAGGAAAUGUUUAUGAGGCUGGAAAAUUGAACCUCUUAACAAUUAUUCAGUUGUUAAAUGAAGUCUUGAAAGUAAUGAAAUAUGAACAUUGUAAGGCUGGCCAAGCAAGAUUGACAAUAGACCUCCACUACCUUGAAAAAGAAACCAAAUUUCAGAGGGAAAGAUUAUCAGAUAUGAAGAACAUGAGGCAUAAAAUAAAAGAGAACGUCACUGCAAUAAGACAUUCUACUGUUGAAAAGGAAGAAAAAUGGCAUACGAAGUGGAAAGGGUUUCUUGGUGUGUCUCCUUUCAGUCUAAUUAAAGGCGGGCCUUCAGCUGUGGAUCUUUUGCCUCCCAUGUCUCCCCUUUCGUUUGAUCCUGUGUCAGAGGAAGUAUAUGCAAAGAGUGUACUUUUUAAGUAUCCUGCGUCACUUCCAGAUUUACAUAAAGAAGUUAAACAAGAAGAUGGUGGCAGAAGAGAAGUGGAUACUCCAGGAAAUGUGUGUGAUGGCGCUGACAGCCCUGUGCCUUUUCCCUUACAAUGUGCUUCGUCCUCAGAUACAAACAGUUUCACACUACUUGAGAAGGAUCCAAAUAUGAGGACUCCCAAAGAGAAAAACGUGCCUUAUAAGAAAAUAGCAGGCUCUGAAUUGGAAGACUCUCCUUUAUCAGAUACUGCAAAGAAUGCACAGAGUAGUGUAUCCGGAGGGUCUCUGCUGGAGAAAAAGAGUGAUCCAUUCCAGAGAGAGCAAGAUCAGCUGGUGGACGAGGUUGCCAGAGUAGUUCUGUCUGAUUCACCACAGCUCUCUGAGGGAAAAGAAGUCAAAUUGGAGGAGCUAAUUGACACUUUAAUUUCUAAUCCCUUCUUAACCAGGAAACAAAUUCCCCGGACUCCAGAUAACUUGAUAGCUGAUAUUAGAAGCUCAUGGAGAAAAGCUGUCGAAACUGAAGUUAACAGAAGUUCAGAUGGGAUUCUAGUGGAUGCCAAAGCUGGAGACGUGUCGUCAGAGUCUUCAUCUACACUGCAUAAUCAGAGGGAAUUUAGCAUGGCUAUUUUUUCCCCAGAUUUUGAUGGGUCUUAUUUGCCUGAAGAGAAAGCUGUUCCAGAUCAGCUUACCAGUGUACCUCAGAAACAUCUGGUAACGAGUCAGAUCAGUGAACCCCCAACAGAAGAUGAGUCAGACUUGAUAAAUAAGAAAAUGAUUUGUAAGCAAGAUUUAGAAUGUGCAGCCACCAGGCUUUCAGAAACUAGACAAAUGGAGGCAUUCUCCCCUGCUGUGGGCAGUGGAAUAGAUGUGAUGGGUAGAAGUAAAGAGGACUGUGUUCGACUGUUGGACUACUCACAAGCUUCUUGCAGUGAACCUUCCACGCAUAAGACUUUGCUAUGGGAUUCUUUCCAGAGGUUGAGUGGCAUUGGCAUAUUACAUGAGACUCUUCCAGAAGAAGUUGGUCACCUAAGUCUUAAUAGUUCUACAAAUUCAGAGACCACUUUUCACCUGGAACCAAAGUCUUAUGUAGACAGUGAUGCUUUUCCAGAUGGUGUGGGGAAAAGACCAGCUAUUCCAGAAUUAGAUUCCAAUUUACAGUCUCUUCUCAGUAGUUAUGAGGCUCUGAAGAAAUCUCUUAACAAAAUCAGGAAAGAAUCUCGCCUGUCUAACCUUGAACAACACAAAAUAGAAUUGAGUCCUGUAGCCAAGCAAGUAGAUGAUACAUGCACUGUUUUGGACACUCAAGAUUUGUUUGUUGACUGCACAAAGCUGUCUUCCCACGUGUCCUUUGAUGAAAGAACACAGACUGUAUCACCUCUAUCUAAAGCUUUUCUGGUGGAGCAAAAAUUGAGGACCACAUUACCAUGUAGGCUUGGGGAAUUUCUGCCUAAUUUAAAAGAAGAAGAAAUCUCAAGUAAGAGCCUUGAAGCAAGAGACUCUCUGAUUUGACAAGAUAAAGCAUUUUCCAGUUGAUUUAGCUGAUGCACUUACUCUGAAGCCUUGUCACUUAACUGCAGCUGAGAUCCACACAUUGGAAGUGUAAUUCUCUUUCUAGCAUCAGAGAAGUUCUGAAUGUACUUUGGCUUCUUAUAAUGUGUUUAGGUCUUUCUCUCUCUCUCUUUUUCUUGCUAAAUAUUAUGAGUUUGAAAUGUGAAGUAUUUAAGAACAGCGAAUGUCAAAUUUUAGAAAACCAUUUUGAUUCCUAGAAUAAUCUUAUAAGUAAAUUACAAAUAUAGUUAUGUUAAAAAUAUUAGUCAUGGGGUUGGGGAUUUAGCUCAGUGGUAGAGCGCUUGCCUAGCAAGCGCAAGGCCCUGGGUUCGGUCCCCAGCUCCGGAAAGAAAAAGAAAAAAGAAGAAAAAAAAUAUCAGUCAUUAACAUAAGGAUGGGUGCAUAAUCUAAUAGCCACUAAAUAGCCAUAUCUCUCUCAUUUUAGAGAAAUAAACCAUUUUACUGGAUCUUGAUGGAUAUUAUGGUAAUAACACAAAAUGAAUGAGGUGUAGUACCCUUGGAUGUGUAAUCAAAGCAACACACUGUAACGUUUGUAAAAUUGUAAACAGACUUAAUGAAUUCUAAGUAUAUUGGUCCUGCAGAAUGAUGUUGAUGGGAUAAAAUGCAUGUAUGUGAUAGGUGAAGAUGAAAUGGAGUGAAUUGAGGAGAUGGGGAAAGGUAGAAGAUGGCCAGAUGUUUAAAGAACAGUCAGACUCUGUUUUGUGUAUGUUAGACUGAGAAUUUAAUUCUAUUUAUAUUUAACAAGAAUAUCAAUGAGAAAUUUGCAAAUUUGUUUUACAGUUGUGGUCUGUGGGUGGUAUGGUGGGUGUUGUUUGUGGAAAGCAACAAGGUUUUAUUACUUACUGAUUGAAAGCAUUAAAGUUCCCUAGUGCCUACAGAAUAUUCCAAAAUAGUUUUGAGAAAAUCGAACAUGGAUUUAACAUUUAUACAUUUUGCCUUAUUGUCAGAGGUCUUGUUUGUGUCAUCCAAGGAAUAGAUACAUGUGCCUUAAUAAGCCUGACUAGAAGAGGCUCUAAAAGGUUGGUUUAUCUCCUUCUAUUCUGUGCAGAGCCUCAGUUUGUAACUUUCAAAAUCCUGUCCCCAAGUCUUAAGAAAAGGAAGAAGAGAAAGGUAGAUGGGCUGAGUGUCAGAAGGAUUGUAUAAGAGCUGUUUACAGGGAGGGAAAGAGGACAUGUUUCCGAGGGCUCUGGUUCCUUCACGAGUGCAGCAGAGCAGACUGUUCGGGUGUACUGGGAAAUCACUUGUUGUUGACAAACAGCCUGGUAUCUAGACUCGAAGCAUGUUAGGGGAGAAGAAGGACUAUCAGAGGAGCCUCUGUCAUCCAGAGCCAAUGCUAAGUGUUUAAUACACAUGGUUGCAUUUAACCUUUGUAAUUGAGAUAGGAGGUAUACCUCGCCUGCAGAUUCUGAAGCGAGUGAGAGAUUAAGUGGCUGGGGUGGGAUGCCGGGGCCACCUGUAUUAGGAUCAUCUGAGAUGCCUGUUUAAAGAUGCUUAUUGAGAGAGGGUCUGGAAAUCUCAUUCAGAUAUGCAUCCAUGGCCACUCACAGGCUCAGCAGCUCGAUGCAGAGACUGAGAUGCACGGUUAGCCCGAGGUACCUUUAAGACGGGGCACACUGUCGUAUGCAUAUUGCUCAGCCCUUCAUUAUGAGAGUUGAAAGGUCAAGUAUCUGGAUAUCUUGGGUUUAUAAGAGUCACUGAAAUUUGCCUGUGGAUGGCUGAACAUUCCUGAACUCAUUAUUUCUUGUUUCAGCACCAUGAUCAAAUCUCCAAUCUGUCACUUCCAAAACUGAUAGUAACUUAAUGCUUUCAGUGCUUUCCCGCACAGCGUCUCCUGCAGCUCUGUGAUGGGUAGCAGCUACUUGGAUCUUGUCAGGUCCUUGCUUACAAGCCCAUUGAUGGUUCAUUGCAAUUACAGAACAGGGUUUGGUUUAAAGACAGCUCCCUUACUUAGACACCCCUCCCCCCAAACUUUUACAGUACUUACCUUGUCCUUCUAGCUCAUCUCAGUUUUUUAAUUUGACUUGAAGACUUUAAGAACCUUUCAUUAUAGCGGUUAGGAUUUUUUAAAUUUUUUAUUUAUUUUCACAUGUGUGGAUGUUUGCCUACAUGUCUGUCUGUGUACCUUUUUGGUGCCUGGUGCUCCCUGAGGAGGGAGUCAGAUCCUCUGGGACUGGAGUUGGCUAGUACUUGAACCUGGGUCACAGGAUGAGCAGCCACUGAGGCAUCUCUCCAGCCAGUUAUAGUUCCUUUAGAACUCAGAACAACACCUUCGAUCCCAGCACUUGGGAAGGCAGGCUGAUCUGAGUCUAGUCUACAAAGUCAGUUCCAGGACAGCCGCCAGGGCUACAGAGUGAGACCCUAUCUGUAAAACAAGAGCUGAAGGCUCAGACAAAUCACGUGGUCUGCCUUGAUGUCUUAAUUUGCCCUCCUAGAUCCAUGGUCUGACAUCCUUUUUGAAGUCUAUUGUGUAACUCUUUUGUGUGGGAGGGUGGGGGGUGGGAGGUAGGGAUCUUGCAGUUGUUCAGGUUAGCUUCAGCUCACAGCAGUCUUCCUGCCUCGGUCUCCCAAGUGCUGGAACUACAGAUGUUUACUUAGUUUUUACUUAGUGUCUUUGUCCCCCACUGUACGUGAUUUCUGAUCACAGCUGUGCACACACCUUCUUACCUGUGUAGAUGUCUGUAGGGUAUGUAUACUGCUGAGCAUGGAAAAUGCUGACAAGUAAGAUAAGAGUACUUAAGGAGCAUUUGGGGGACAGGGACCAAGCUCAACAAAAUUCUAAACAGACAUUUUGAAACCUUUACAGUAGUUUUCUUAGUUAUAAGGUCUGAUACCAAUUUUACCUAAAGUGUAGAUGGGAAUUCUUGAGACCUGUAUAAAAGCAAACUUUUUUUCCCUAGUGUACUAAAAAAAUGUGUUUCAAAACAUUUCAUUUAAUGUGUGAAGACAUUAUGAAGAUCAGAUGCCUGGUUGCUCUCAAGAGCACCCAACUCUUUAUGCACGGAGAGCUGGCAAGUUCAUGUUCUUAAGUGGGAAAUGCCUAUGUUCUAAGGACUGUUUGGAAGUGUGUUCUACAAACUGCUGUCUAGAAUAAAUACUCAGUGUUUCA